GGAGUAAUAUUUUUUCCGUAUAUAUGCACCUUACUUUGAUGAAGCAUGUACGUUGCUUCUUAUUCCUUACUCUUGUUAAAAGUCCAAUAAGUCUUGGUGGUUUUUUUUUUUGCUUUUUUACUUUCAGCUGAUUCUAGCUGUUUCUGAUCUUUCUUCAUCCAGAUUUGGUAAUGACUUACUAAUGUUUGGUGUUAAUUCUUCAUAAAUAUUGGGUUUCCAUGAUUAACAUUGUUUAUUUGAUAAUUGAACUUUUUUCAUUCUCUACGGGAAUUAAGGCCUGAUGAUGUACUCUGUCGUUAUUGUUAGACUUCUAUGUUCCGUUGUGCAUCAAAGACACUGACCAGAAAAUACAAGUGAAUAGUGUAGUCUAAGUUAUCGCUAUACUAUUGCAUCCAAGGGUGUGGCCUAGUGACAUAUGAAGUUGAUUGAGAAUCUUGAGGUCCCAGGUUCUAAUUCCACCGGAGGCAAAAACUAUAAGUGAUUUCUUUCCAUAUGUUCAAGCUUUUGUGGACAGAGUGACUCGGUACUUGUGCUGGUGGGAGGUAGCAGGUAUCCUGUGAAAUUAGUUGAGGUGCACGCAAGCUGAACCAUAUACCACGAUUAUACAAAAAGAAAAGUAAUCGCUGUACUACUUGGUUCUGUUCCUGGCAGGCACUCAUUGGUCUAGAGUGAUGCUUAUGGUCAUAACAUUCAUCUCAGGAUCAGAGACCAAAAUCAUCAACAAUUUUAUGGAGUAAGCAGAUGGUAGGAUAUCAUCUCGAAAUCUUGAACUUAAGAUAAAAUAUGAUCUUCCAGAUCUUAAAGGAUACAAGGGAAAAUUAAGAGAUGGAAUUUGAGAACUUCCUUUUUUUGAAUAGAUCAUUACUAUACCAGAUCCUUUUCAUGCCUCAUUAUCUUUUUAUAAUUUAUAUUUGAUACAACAACAAUAACAUACCUAGUGUAAUUCCAAAAGUGGGGUCUUGGGAUGGUAGGAUGUAUGCAAACCUUACCUCUAGCUUUGUGGGAUAGAGAGACUGUUUCCGAUAGAUUCUCGGCUCAAAAUAAAUGUAACUGAUGCAUGAAAGUAAGAGAAAGAAAGAGACAUCAAAACAACAAAUGUACAAAACAAGUGCAAUAAUAGAUAUUAAUACACAUGGGAAAGGGAACUACGUGAUGCCUAAAUCAUACUACUAGAAGUACGACAACACUCGACUACCUACUAUCUACCUAAUUCUCAGCCUCCAUACGUUCUAGCUAAGGUCAUGUCCUCAGUCAGCUGAAGUUGUUCCAUGUCCCCGUCCUAAUUACCUCCCCCAGUUUUUUUUCGGCCUACCUCUACCUCUCCUAACUCCAGCUACAAACAACCUCUCACACCUCCUCAUUGGCGCAUCCUCACACUUCUUCUUCAUAUGUCAGAACCAUCUUAGCCUAGCUAACUUUAUCUUGUCCACUAUGGUGGCCACUUCCACCUUGUCCCGUAUAACUUCGUUCUUAAUCAUAUCUCUCCUAGUAUGCCCAUACAUCCAUUUGAGCAUCCUCAUAAUCUAAACAUGAACAUUUUUUAUUAGCAAGCACUCUGCAGUCUGCCCCAUACAAUAGUGUGGGUCUAACCAUCACUUUUUAGAACUUAUCUUUAAAUCUUAGCGACACAUACUUAUUGUACAGUACAUUAAUAUCCCAGAGGGAAGCCUCCAUUUCACCCAACCUGCACCAGUACAGUGUGUGACAUCAUUGUCAUUGCCCCAUCUCCUUCAAUUAUGGACCCAAGAUACUUGAAGCUUUCUUUGUAAGGUAUGGCUAGUGCAUCGAUCUUCACUUCCACCUCCACCUCAUGUGUCACGGUGCUGGACUUGCACUCUAGGUACUCUGUGUAGUCCUGCUAAACUGAAAUCUUUAAACUUUAUGGCCUCUUUCCGAACUUCCUGCCUAUCAUUAAUUCCAUCAUGCAUUUUGUCAAUCAAUACUAUGUCAUAUGCGAAUAACAUACACCAUGACACCUCCCCUUGAAUAUGUCGUGUCAAUUCGUCCAUCGCUAAUACAAAAAGGAACGGCUAAGGGUUGAUUCCUGAUGCAACCCAAUCAUGACUGGAAAGUGGUCCGAGUCUUUUCCCACUAUCCUAACCCGGGUUGAGGCUCCAUUGUGCAUGUCUUUAAUAACCCUAAUGUAAGCCAUAGAUACACCUCUAAAUAAUUUACAUUUGAUACAAUAGGCUUUUUCUAUGUGGUGUCUCUCUUUCAUACAAUCCCUUUGAUAGACUUGGACGACUUUGGAGUACUCUUUAGCUUUGUUAGAAUUUUGAAUUUCCUUUGAGGACAAUUAUCCCUUUCUUAUUAAGUUAAAUAUUUUAUUGAUGUUGGGAUAAGAAACUCCUGUAUACAAGUAGUAUACCAAAAAGUAAAGAGCCUU